GAUGAACGCUGGCGGCGUGCUUAACACAUGCAAGUCGAACGAUGAAGCCGGUGCUUGCUCUGGUGAAUUAGUGGCGAACGGGUGAGUAACACGUGAGUAACCUGCCCUUGACUCUGGGAUAACUGCGGGAAACUGUAGCUAAUACCGGAUACGACCCUCGGAGGCAUCUCCUGGGGGUGGAAAGAAUUUCGGUCAAGGAUGGACUCGCGGCCUAUCAGCUAGUUGGUGAGGUAAAGGCUCACCAAGGCGACGACGGGUAGCCGGCCUGAGAGGGUGACCGGCCACACUGGGACUGAGACACGGCCCAGACGCCUACGGGAGGCAGCAGUGGGGAAUAUUGCACAAUGGGCGCAAGCCUGAUGCAGCGACGCCGCGUGAGGGAUGAAGGUCUUCGGAUUGUAAACCUCUUUCAGUAGGGACGAAGCGAAAGUGACGGUACCUAAAGAAGAAGCACCGGCUAACUACGUGCCAGCAGCCGCGGUAA
rnacentral:rRNA from 1 species